GCGCGUGUGGCUGGUGCGGCGCCGGUGAUUCCGCCGUCGGCCUCGCGCGAGGACGAUUCGCUGCUGGGUUCGAUUCCGGCGCGUGCG
rnacentral:tRNA from 1 species